rnacentral:tRNA from 1 species
GGAGAUGCUAUGGUUCAGUGGUAAAGCAUCUGCUCAGCAUGCAGGGGGUCCAAGGUUCAAUCCCCGCCAUCUCCA